GACGAACGCUGGCGGCGUGCUUAACACAUGCAAGUCGAACGAUGAACCGGGAGCUUGCUCCGGUGGAUUAGUGGCGAACGGGUGAGUAACACGUGAGUAACCUGCCCUUGACUCUGGGAUAACUGCGGGAAACUGUAGCUAAUACCGGAUACGACCCUCGGCGGCAUCGCCAGGGGGUGGAAAGAAUUUCGGUCAAGGAUGGACUCGCGGCCUAUCAGCUAGUUGGUGAGGUAACGGCUCACCAAGGCGACGACGGGUAGCCGGCCUGAGUGGGUGACCGGCCACACUGGGACUGAGACACGGCCCAGACUCCUACGGGAGGCAGCAGUGGGGGAUAUUGCACAAUGGGCGCAAGCCUGAUGCAGCAACGCCGCGUGAGGGAUGACGGCCUUCGGGUUGUAAACCUCUUUUAGCAGGGAAGAAGCGAAAGUGACGGUACCUGCAGAAAAAGCACCGGCUAACUACGUGCCAGCCGCCGCAGUAA
rnacentral:rRNA from 1 species